GGCGACUCGUAAAAAGUACGGAUAAUCCGAAAAACAAUAUCUCCUCAUCUCCUCAUCUCCUCUUCCCUCCUCUUCCACUUCUCAACUCUCUCCAUGAACCACUGAGAGAGUCUGGGACCCACUCAAAAUCUCUCAUGGCGAAGACUCUCGUCUCAUCCACACCGUUCGUCGGCACAUCUCUACCGACCAUCUCCCGCCGUGGGGCCUACACCCUCCCCUACCGUAGUGGCAAUGGACUCGUCUCCACCAGAAUCAGCUUCAGCCUCCACGACGUCGUUCCUCCGAUCAAUCCCUUCGACUCCGGCUCCGACGUCGCCUCACUUUUGAGCCGAGCUGAGGGCCUCCUCUACACGCUAGCCGAUGCUGCCGUGGCCGUCGACCCGGCCGCCUCGGGCUCCGCAGACGCCGCGGCUCAGAAGAAUGGCGGCUGGUUCGGCUUCAUCUCCGAAGCCAUGGAGUUCGUACUCAAGAUUUUGAAAGAUGGACUUGCGACUGUCCACGUGCCAUAUGCGUACGGCUUCGCAAUUAUUUUGCUUACAGUUCUCGUUAAACUUGCCACAUUGCCUCUCACAAAGCAGCAGGUGGAAUCGACGUUGGCUAUGCAAAACCUUCAACCAAAACUUAAAGCUAUACAAGAAAGAUAUAAGGGCAAUCAGGAAAGAAUACAACUUGAGACAUCACGGCUGUAUCGGCAGGCUGGGGUUAACCCAUUGGCAGGUUGUUUACCAACUUUGGCCACGAUACCAGUCUGGAUAGGUCUAUACCAAGCUCUUUCAAAUGUGGCAAAUGAGGGGUUGUUGACAGAAGGUUUCUUUUGGAUUCCCUCUUUGGGUGGGCCAACAACAAUUGCUGCUCGACAAAGUGGAUCUGGAAUUUCUUGGUUGUUUCCAUUUGUGGAUGGCCAGCCACCAUUGGGCUGGCAUGACACUGCAGCAUAUCUUGUUUUACCUGUCCUCCUUGUUGCUUCUCAGUAUGUUUCAAUGGAGAUCAUGAAGCCUCCACAGACUGAUGAUCCAGCUCAAAAGAACACACUUCUUGUAUUCAAGUUUCUUCCCCUCAUGAUUGGUUACUUCUCCUUGUCCGUUCCAUCAGGAUUAUCAAUUUACUGGUUCACAAACAAUGUUCUCAGCACAGCACAACAAGUAUGGCUACGCAGAUUAGGAGGUGCAAAGCCUGUUGUGAAUGAGAAUGCAAGUGGAAUCAUUACAGCAGGACGUGCAAAGCGAUCAGAUUCUCAGCCAGUAGAAGCUGGCAGUAGAUUCAGGAAGUUGAGAGAAGAAGAGAAAAAGAACAAGCUGAGCAAGGCAUUAUCAAAUGAAGAGGUUCAGACACUGGCUUCUACAUCUGAUUCUGAAGCCGGUUCAGAUGAAGAAACCAAGGACAAGGGUGAGGAGAUUCUAGAGGCGUAUGCUUCUACUGUUGGCAAAGAGCUUCCAGAUGAUCCUCGGCCAAGGAGAAGCAAGCGAUCUAAACGGAAGCGUGCUGUAUAAAUUGACUAUAUACUGAUUAAGUUUGUAGUUCACGAUGCAAAGAGUCAAGGUAAAAUCAUCUGACAUUAAGUACAUGAAUGCUGGUUAAGCUCUAUACACACCCAAGUAGGUAAAACAUAUCUGGUUCCGGACCCCGACCCUGAGCCAGGCUGUGCAGAAUUGUGCUUGAACUGAACUGUGGCCAGGAACAAAGAAAGCUAACAUUUAUUAAAUAUUGAAGGAAACAAGUUAUCAUUUCAUCCAUGAUAAACCUGUUAAGUACAUGACAACCAUGCUGUCGGCAACUCGAACUGGGAAAUUGGGACCCACCAUAUGCAUGUUGAUGAACAUUGCUGAAUUGCUUACAUAAUGAAAUGCUCUGAUAAUUCCAUA